AUUGAACGCUGGCGGCAUGCCUUACACAUGCAAGUCGAACGGCGAGCACGGGGGCAACCCUGGUGGCGAGUGGCGAACGGGUGAGUAACGCAUCGGAACGUGCCCAAUAGUGGGGGAUAGCCUGGCGAAAGCCGGAUUAAUACCGCAUACGCACUAUGGUGGAAAGCGGGGGACCGAAAGGCCUCGCGCUAUUGGAGCGGCCGAUGUCGGAUUAGCUAGUUGGUGGGGUAAAGCUCACCAAGGCGACGAUCCGUAGCUGGUCUGAGAGGACGACCAGCCACACUGGGACUGAGACACGGCCCAGAUUCCUACGGGAGG
rnacentral:rRNA from 1 species